rnacentral:lncRNA from 1 species
AAUCCCAUUUCUGUUUUCUGCUCUUCAUGGUGUUUUGGAUCUACAUUAUGCCCAGCUGAGACUAUUAAGGUAUAUGAGAGAUCUGUUGCAAGGAUUUUAGAAACUUCAUUGACGUCAAGAAUAUAGAGAAAGUGGAAGUGCUUUCAACCCAUUUUAAAUUGCAUUUUGAAUUUUUUCUCUGUGGAGGCCUGAAGAGCAUCUUUGGUUUCUACUUUGUUAUUGCAAGUAACAUUUAUACCAGCACAACUAUAGACCCUUGCUUGUUUGAUCUGUUCCUUGUGGAUUUAAGUAUGUUGCCUGUGGCCAUCCUGCAUCAUUAGAGGAAUAUACCCAGGGAUUAGGAAAAUGACUGUACCAUGUGCCUUGAUUGAGCAAGACUGAACAAUCAAGAAUGGAACAGGAAAAGGCAGGACUUUGAUGACAGUAAGUUGAGUUUCUGUUAUACUUAUCAUUUGUCUUGCCAAUUUAACAGAAAAUGGAAAAAGAGAAGACAGUCCUCAAGGCAAUAUAAUGGAAGCAUAAGGCAACCAUCUAUUUAUACUCAUUUCUGAAAGGACAAGCAAAACAAAACACAAUGCAGUUACAA